rnacentral:rRNA from 1 species
AUUGAACGCUGGCGGCAGGCCUAACACAUGCAAGUCGAGCGAGCGGCGGACGGGUGAGUAAUGUCUGGGAAACUGCCUGAUGGAGGGGGAUAACUACUGGAAACGGUAGCUAAUACCGCAUACCAUCAGAUGUGCCCAGAUGGGAUUAGCUAGUAGGUGGGGUAACGGCGAACCUAGGCGACGAUCCCUAGCUGGUCUGAGAGGAUGACCAGGCACACGGGGACUGAGAACCGGUCAAGACUCCUACGGGAGGAAGCAGUGGGGAAUAGUGCACAAUGGGCGAAAGCCUGAUGGAGCCAUGCCGCGUGUGUGAAGAAGGCCUUCGGGUUGUAAAGCACUUUCAGCGGGGAGGCGUUACCCGCAGAAGAAGCACCGGCUAACUCCGUGCCAGCAGCCGCGGUAAUAC